rnacentral:rRNA from 1 species
CCGUAGGUGAACCUGCGGAAGGAUCAUUAUUGAAUGAACUUGGUGUGGUUGUUGCUGGCUCUUUCGAGGGCAUGUGCACGCCCACCAUCCUCAUCUCUCCACCUGUGCACCUCUUGUAGACUUGGAUUGACUUUCCGAGGCAACUCGGUCGGGAGGAUUGCCGGCGCCAGCUGGCUUUCUUUGCAUUUCCAGGUCUACGUUUUUCAUAUACCCCAUUGUAUGUAACAGAAUGUAACAUUGGGCACUUGUGCCUAUAAACUUUAUACAACUUUCAGCAACGGAUCUCUUGGCUCUCGCAUCGAUGAAGAACGCAGCGAAAUGCGAUAAGUAAUGUGAAUUGCAGAAUUCAGUGAAUCAUCGAAUCUUUGAACGCACCUUGCGCUCCUUGGUAUUCCGAGGAGCAUGCCUGUUUGAGUGUCAUUAAAUUCUCAACCUUUAUCAACUUUUGUUGAUAAUGGCUUGGAUAUGGGGGUUUAUUUUGCUGGCUUCUUUACAGAUGGUCAGCUCCCCUUAAAUGCAUUAGCCGGUGCCCCGCGUGGACUGUCUAUUGGUGUGAUAAUUAUCUACGCCGUGGACAUCUGCAAUCAUAUGGGUUUGCACUGCUUCCAACUGUCUGUUGAAUCAGACAAUACCAUGACAAUUUGACCUCAAAUCAGGUAGGACUAUACCCGCUGAACUUAAGCAUAUCAAUAAGCGGAGGA